AACAGUCCUGUAGGGUAGACGCCUUGUGAACUAAUGUUUAAGAAGAUACCACCACUGAGACAUUUAAGGGUGUUUGUAUGCUUGUGCUUUGCCUCUUAUUUGGAGUACUAAACUAGGAAAACAAGUUCCUUUAUGGAAUAUUGUUAGACUUAAAAGGGAUUCAAGCUAUAUGAUUUGGAGACAAGGGGUUCCUAAAAAGUGAAGUUGUUCGUGAAUCUUACUCAGCCUGCUGCACUAAAUCCGAUCUGAGACAGUUCUGAGUCACACUUUGCAGCCAUAUGCAGGUACAAGUUCACAAUUAGCUAUGCCUAUAUAGGAUAUCAUUGCUGAAAUUGACAUUGGAAUGCCUUUUCCACAGUCUCGAGAGGAAGUGCAAUAGGACCAGAUGUUGCACAAGCUGGUGAUUUACGUUCUGACCAAACUGGUGAAGUUGUUGCAGAACUCAGAGAAUCAUCUAGGAGACUCAAGCCAUCUUUAUGUCCAUAGGAGUAUGUUGUCCCUAUACAAGCAUAGAAAAAGCUGUCCCUAUACAAUGUCCAAUUACAAAAUAAUAAGACCAAUGGUGAUGUGGACAGAUUUGAGGCUGGUUGGUGGCUAAUGGGUACAAUCAACAAGAAGAAUUGGACUAUAAUGAGACAUUUUCUCUGGUGGCCAAGAUUGUCUGUGGCGAGACUGUUGUCAGUUAAGUAGC
rnacentral:lncRNA from 1 species